rnacentral:pre_miRNA from 1 species
GUUUGUGUCACCUGGGGAUUUUGUUAAAAUGCAGAUGUUGAUUUUGGGUUUGAUAAGGCCUAGGAUUCUGCAUUUCUAGUGAGCUCCCAGGUGGUGCUGGU